rnacentral:rRNA from 1 species
GAUGAACGCUGGCGGCGUGCCUAAUACAUGCAAGUCGAGCGAACAGACGAGGAGCUUGCUCCUUUGACGUUAGCGGCGGACGGGUGAGUAACACGUAGGUAACCUACCUAUAAGACUGGGAUAACUUCGGGAAGCCGGAGCUAAUACCGGAUAAUAUUUCGAACCGCAUGGUUCGAUAGUGAAAGAUGGCUUUGCUAUCACUUAUAGAUGGACCUGCGCCGUAUUAGCUAGUUGGUAAGGUAACGGCUUACCAAGGCAACGAUACGUAGCCGACCUGAGAGGGUGAUCGGCCACACUGGAACUUAGACACGGUCCAGACUCCUACGGGAGGCAGCAGUAGGGAAUCUUCCGCAAUGGGCGAAAGCCUGACGGAGCAACGCCGCGUGAGUGAUGAAGGUCUUCGGAUCGUAAAACUCUGUUAUUAGGGAAGAACAAACGUGUAAGUAACUGUGCACGUCCUGACGGUACCUAAUCAGAAAGCCACGGCUAACUACGUG